UACGUAGGGGGCAAGCGUUGUCCGGAAUCAUUGGGCGUAAAGAGCGUGUAGGCGGCCAGAUAAGUCCGCUGUGAAAUCUCGAGGCUCAACUUCGAGCUGUCGGUGGAAACUAUCUGGCUAGAGUCCGGAAGAGGAGAAUGGAAUUCCUGGUGUAGCGGUGAAAUGCGCAGAUAUCAGGAAGAACACCCGUGGCGAAGGCGGGUCUCUGGGCCGAUACUGACGCUGAGGAGCGAAAGCGUGGGGAGCGAACAGG
rnacentral:rRNA from 1 species